rnacentral:rRNA from 1 species
AACGAACGCUGGCGGCAGGCUUAACACAUGCAAGUCGAACGCCCCGCAAGGGGAGUGGCAGACGGGUGAGUAACGCGUGGGAAUCUACCCAACUCUACGGAAUAACUCAGGGAAACUUGUGCUAAUACCGUAUACGCCCUUCGGGGGAAAGAUUUAUCGGAGUUGGAUGAGCCCGCGUUGGAUUGGCUAGUUGGUGGGGUAAAGGCCUACCAAGGCGACGAUCCAUAGCUGGGCUGAGAGGAUAAUCAGCCACAUUGGGACUGAGACACGGCCCAAACUCCUACGGGAGGCAGCAGUGGGGAAUAUUGGACAAUGGGCGCAAGCCUGAUCCAGCCAUGCCGCGUGAGUGAUGAAGGCCCUAGGGUUGUAAAGCUCUUUCACCGGUGAAGAUAAUGACGGUAACCGGAGAAGAAGCCCCGGCUAACUUCGUGCCAGCCGCCGCCGUAAGAC